UACGGAGGGGGCUAGCGUUGUUCGGAAUUACUGGGCGUAAAGCGUACGUAGGCGGCUUUGUAAGUUAGAGGUGAAAGCCCGGGGCUCAACGCCGGAAUUGCCUUUAAGACUGCAUCGCUUGAAUCAUGGAGAGGUGAGUGGAAUUCCGAGUGUAGAGGUGAAAUUCGUAGAUAUUCGGAAGAACACCAGUGGCGAAGGCGACUCACUGGACAUGUAUUGACGCUGAGGUACGAAAGCGUGGGGAGCAAACAGG
rnacentral:rRNA from 1 species